rnacentral:rRNA from 1 species
CCUUUUGGGUGGGGGAAUACAGUCGGAAACGACUGCUAAUACCGCAUAAUGCAGCGGCUCGACAUCGAGACAGUUGUUAAAGCGGGGGAUCGCAAGACCUCGCGCCUGAAGAGAAGCCUGCGGCAGAUUAGCUAGUUGGUAAGGUAAUGGCUUACCAAGGCGACGAUCUGUAACCGGCCUGAGAGGGCGGUCGGUCACACUGACACUGGCAUACGGGUCAG